UACAGAGGUGGCAAGCGUUGUUCGGAUUUACUGGGCGUAAAGGGCGCGUAGGCGGCCACGUCAAGUCAGUUGUGAAAUCUCUGGGCUUAACUCAGAACGGUCAACUGAUACUGUCGGGCUAGAGUGCAGAAGGGGCAACUGGAAUUCUCGGUGUAGCGGUGAAAUGCGUAGAUAUCGAGAGGAACACCUGCGGCGAAGGCGGGUUGCUGGGCUGACACUGACGCUGAGGCGCGAAAGCUAGGGGAGCGAACGGG
rnacentral:rRNA from 1 species